UACAAAAGCAAAUCUGAGCCGCAAGUAACACACAAGACGCGAGACGGUGCGUUAACAAGGCAUUAGCUAGCCAUUUAUUGUUUAGAGGAAGUUAACAUGGUUAACUGUAUUCAAAGUCAUACAAUACACCUCUUAAGCUCUGUGAGAGGCUCCUCCCCAUGUCUCAGGGAGAAAAGCUGCAAGGAAUAUACAUACAGUAUAUUUUAUUGGCAAGUAGAUAUGUUUUAGCAAGUACAUUCUCUUCUACUUGGUGUUCAUGUACAAUAUACAUGUCAAAAAAAUAUAGUUUGUUUGCUUCGGGAUCCUGCUUUAGUUUUUUUUUUUUUUCCUUCCUUUUUUGGGUUCAGGAUGUUCAUGUCGAAGGAAUUCACAUUUAGUUGUUACUCGUUCUCAAGAUGGCGCCGGAGCUAGAAGAGCAGCCAUGUUAUACAAAUACACGUUAUGCAUAGAAGGCACCUCUAUGCAUUAAAAUUGCUUUCAUGAUUCAUGGAGAAGAGCAAUCAUCUGGGAAGAAACGGGAGAAAAAAAAAAUAAGGAAGAAAAUACGAGAAAGGAAAAAAAAAAAAAAGCAUCCGAGAACACAAGCACACCAUGGAAAAACAAAGAAAUAAAAAUAAUAAAGGAAGGAAGCGAGCGAUCUAGAAGAGACCAGACGAGAACAGAGUCAUCGUCUGAAGGAGAAAACUGCAUACAGUGCUCCACACCACAGAGCGCCUCUACCAGAGGAUGGACUUCGAUCAGAAUAAUCAAAGAACACUUUGAAGCAGGAGAGAACGGCGCUGAGAAAACUUCAUGAUUCCUACAGUAAAAGAGAAGCUGGUCGGCCCUGAUUCAGUGGUUGUGGAAAAAAAGUGUCUCCAAAGGCAAAGAGCACAGCAACUUCCACUUUGUUCCCCAUCCACCCACCACCCCUCAUGUGAGAGAUUCAGAGUCAGCACUGUUACAGUAAGUCCAACCACAACACUGCGGUUUCUCAAGGCAGAAAGCAAGUGGAGCAAUGCUGAAGUUACAUGUCUGAGUGAGAGUAAGGAUUGCUCUGCAUAAGUGCAACUGAUUGUGGAGUUUGACAUUUUGGGAAAAAAAAAAAAAUCCCUCCAAUUUCAUGAUUUAAAAAAAAAAAAAAAAGAGAGAGAGAUGCUGAUUAGUCUCGUCAACCUGACGUAUGAAACUAGCCCAAAAAUAAAUCCAGCACUUAACUUCCCUCUUGAAACCACUUCUUGUUUUUAGCCCCGUUCAGACCCACAGCCCCUACAUAUAUCUCUUUCAGUCGGUUUGUAGGCGUCGGCUACAUUUUAGUACAGCUACCUGAUAAAAAUAUAUAUUAAUUGAUAAGAUACAACUUGAAAUCGUUGGUGCAGAAGUAUUGCAAAGCUUGCAUGUCUUUUAGAUGCAUUUUAGUUCAAUAUCACCCCAAAUGUGCCUACAGUGAUGUUAGGGUUGCUGCUGAGGUGCCAUUGUCCGUUUAAAAUGAAUAUGGCGUCACGGUUUCCACCCAGUAAGGUGAGCACUACAGAGGACCUAAGAGCGAACGCUGGGAUAUCUUAAACCGCUGACCCUCUUAGGACGUUCUAUCACCGUUUCUGCCUGUGUCUGGAUACAUGUAUUAACAAGCUGAGCAGUGGGCUCAGGACACUGCCCUGUGGAACACCAGAAUUAAGGAGAAGCAACAUGUUGCUUUUUUUACGUGUCAAUAUACGUUGGUUGGAAAAUCCACAAAAUUCUAUAGAACGCGACUAAAUUCUGGAUUCAGCAGUUUGAGGAACUUUUGAUGACGAUGCAAAAGAAAAAAGAUAAAUGCAAUUGUCUAAAUGAACACAAGCCUUGAUAAAGCAAAUCAGUUCUUUUCACAAAAUGUCAAACAUUUUCUUUAAACACUGGUUGGAAUGACUUUCCUAAAAAGCUGUUUAGAUGCGUAUGUGUGUGUGUGUGUGUGUGUGUGUGUGUGCGUGCGUAAACCACGUCAAUGACCCAAUGUUACGUCUUAGAAGCCGAGAGAUGUGCGAUUGUUUCGUUGAACAGUGACUCUCAAACUUAAGUACACGUGGUGUUCGUAAAAAGGCAAUGGUACACAACAGGCGUUUGUCUUCAAUAGUGAAAAAUAAAAAUAAGGAAAUGCACUUAAAAAAAACAACAACAACAAAAUGAGGAAUUAAAAAGAAAAAGACAAAAAAAAAAACUGUGGCAGCCAUGGACCUGUGACGAUGCCAGCAGGUGAAACAGACAACAGAUUCCCCUGAAAUCUCAGUAUGUCAACAUACUGUGUGUGGCAGAAAUGCAGGCCGCCGUGGUGACUCCUCCCCUACAACCCAGAAUUAGACCAUUUAUAAAUGCUAAUUCAAGACUAAAACUGCUCUGCUGCUCAACAAAAAGCGCAGCAUUAAGGAUACCCGGCUUCAGCUAAGGAAUGGUUAAUAAACAGACUGAAUUCCACUGAAAGAAUAUUAAGUCUAUGUAAACUAGAAGACAGAAAAAAAAAAAAGAGAUCAUUUACACUCUACACAAGUUCAGUUUGAGUGCAUUUCAGGUGGUUCAAUACCUGAAAAAAAAAAAAACCCUCAUUUUAAAAGUCACUGGGUUAUAAAUCUAAAUUAAUAAGCAAUCAUUUUAUUAAUUACAAACAUUAAUGGAUGGUAAUUUUGCCCUACAAUGCAGAAACCAUCGGGUUUUUUUUUUUUUUUUCCUGUGUCGAAGGCAAAACCGGUUCACAUAAUGGAGCUAAAAAAAAAAAGACCAAUGAAAAUAAGAAAUCACUUGUGGGUUUGGCACAGGCCUUUUCACGAGAAACUCCUCACAUUUUUUUUUUCUAAAUACUCUACCUUAACUUUGGUUAAUAAAGUGAAAAAAACA